AGCAACGUCAAAAUAUCAUAUGGGGAAUCAUCACCAAGCUCGCUUCACCCUCAUCAUCUCCUCCUUCAUCGUCAUCAUGUUUUGGAUGGUAGCAUCACGAUCUAUUGUUACCGUCGCUACCGUCGCUACGUCAGGGUACUAUUCUUACGAGGCGUUUACUAAACCAAAAUCAAACAUUUGCGGCGCUACUUGUUUGGCUCCUGUCCAUCAGCCGAAUCCUCCAUAUCCAAGCAAAAGUCCAUAUAAGCCUCCAUUAAAUCCACCCCUACGCCGACCAUAAGCCUCCAGUGGGCUUCCCGUGCAACGUUGAUGUCGAUCGAGUGUAUGCAUGUUUCUGUUUUCUCAGCUUGCUUCUGUCUGCAGCAACAAAAAUAUUCGAAGAGAAUAAAAAGUAUCUAUUUUGUCAAGAUUUCUUGGAGUACAUGGGUGUGUUAGAUAUGCUUGUGCAAUCUAAUUCGUUGGCUA